rnacentral:rRNA from 1 species
UACGUAGGGACCAAGCGUUGUUCGGAUUUACUGGGCGUAAAGGGCGCGUAGGCGGCAAUUCAAGUCAGCUGUGAAAUCUCCGGGCUUAACUCGGAACGGUCAGCUGAUACUGCUUUGCUAGAGUGCGGAAGGGGCAAUCGGAAUUCUCGGUGUAGCGGUGAAAUGCGUAGAUAUCGAGAGGAACACCUGAGGUGAAGACGGGUUGCUGGGCCGACACUGACGCUGACAGCGCGAAAGCCAGGGGAGCAAACGGG